GUAUCUGUUCAAGGAUUAUCGACGGUGGGAAUAAUUAUUAAAAUGUUUUUUUUCUCAUUCCUUUUUUUUUUGCUUUAGAUGAUCAUCAUGUGGUACAAGGCCUGCUCCUUUUCCCUCCCUUUAGCUAGGUGCGCUGAGAGAAGGUCCCUGACAAAGGACGGGUUGCGUGUUCUUCGGAGCUCGCUUUAACGUAACGUGGUCAUGUCGGACUAGAGCGCCCCAUUAGGCUCCCGCAAUGAAAUUUUCUGAUAAAGAUACAUUCUUAGAUAAUUAAGUCAAGCAGUUAAGUUAAGAAAAUUUUCUUUGUUUGUCUGAGGGAGCAAGAUAAAAGGGUCUAUGUUAUUGUGUGUAGUUGGUGUCAUUGUAAGGUUUAAGCUGGUGAGUUUAGCCUUGAAGGUCAAUACGGGGACAUGUAUCUUUGCCAAGACGUCAACAAAUCCAUUAAGCCCACUUCCAUCUCAGCAACAAUGAAAGAAACUUGCGUUGCUGAGCUCUGCUGGCUGGGUGGCGUCACCGCACAUUGACCCAGCUACCCAAUGACUUCCCUGAAUUUUCAUUAUGUGAAAAC